UUCAAAGCUUAGCUGCUGAACAUCAGAAUUUGGAGAAUUAUGCUUAAUCAAGUCAUUCACACAGUAUGAUUAAGCUGAAAGCCCUGAGAUGCGCUGCCAAAAGGCGCUCAGGGUUGAUUGUUUAAGUGAUAAAUCCUCUACUUGCAGGGGUGUCCUGGCCUGGACACUGGCGCUGCACUGCAGGAAAAGAAUGCCGAAGGGAGGUGCUGCAGGGGACUGGAGGAGAGAUCUCUUCCACGGCUGGCGAGAUGCCACCAUGCUGUGAAGCUGGCAGGCAUGGCUGGUGCAGGAUCUCUGGAGAAGGGGCAGCCUUGGUGCCUACCGUGGCUACCACUUCGGGAUUAACUUCCUGGCCUGCUUCCUGCCCGUCUUCCUGAGCACCCGACCUACAGCUACCGCAUUAGCUGACUUCGUCAAUGAGCUCAGCCGGGUCUUCUCGCUCUGCCACGUGCCCGUGCUGUGCAGUGAGGGGAUGGAGCAGGGCCCUGGUCCCAGGCUGGAUCCAGGCAGCCAACUCAGAGGGCAAAGGAGACUCGUACCCCCAGCCCUCUGCUCCCUCGGACCUUCCCUGCUCGUGGUGUGACUUUUUCAACAACCUCAUGCAGGCUGGUGUCCGGGUAGGUUCAUUGCUACCCACACCAGAGUGUUGCUGGCAGGAGCUGUGUGGCCGGCGGGGCUCGGGGCAGCCCCAUCCCAGGAACCAGCCCCGCAGACAGCGGCUGCGGGAGUGCGCAACCAGAGCAAGAGCUGACACAAGAAAGAAACACUGCCUGUGAGUAUACCAAAAAUCGUUCCACUGCUCCUGCACCGCUCCACAAAGUCAACAACGCAGUGGCCCUAAGAGCUUCCAAGCGUGGCUACACCUACACCUACAGCAAACGGAGUCACAGGG